rnacentral:rRNA from 1 species
CCUACGGGUGGCUGCAGUGGGGAAUAUUGGGCAAUGGGCGAAAGCCUGACCCAGCAACGCCGCGUGAAGGAAGAAGGCUUUCGGGUUGUAAACUUCUUUUGAUAGGGAAGUGCAGAAGACUGUACCUGUCGAAUUAGCCAUGUCUAACUACGUGCCCGCAGCGGCGGUAAUACGGAGGAUGCGAGGGUUAUCCGGAUUUAUUGGAUUAAAAGGGUGCUUAGGCGGAAGGUUACGUCAGCGGUAAAAUGUCGGUGGUAAACACCGGCUUGCCGUUGAAACUGGUAUUCUUGAGUAAGCGAGAGGUAUGCGGAAUGCGUGGUGUAGCGGUGAAAUGCAUAGAUAUCACGAAGAACUCCGAGUGCGAAGGCAGCAUACCGGAGCUCAACUGACGCUGAGGCACGAAAGCGUGGGGAUCGAACAGGAUUAGAUACCCUAGUAGUC